GAGUGAGUGCAUUAGAUAGAUUCAUGGAGAUGGAAAAGGCACAGCUCCUCAGCACCAAGCACUCUGUGUGAUCCAGCUGUUAGCACCUCUACCCAGUGCUCCCACUGACGACAGAGGGAGUCCCAGUCCCAGGGUCCCCGACAGACCAGACCGCUCGUGCCGCGCCCCCGCUUCCCGCAGGCAUUCGUCACAGCGUUCAGCACCGCUUGGCCUAGUACUCGAUCCAGCUUUCAGGCCAUGCGCAAAUACUCUGCUCUCAGCCAACUUGAAUUCAUUUCAAGGAAGAUUGCACAAGAAUUCAGCUCUGCUGCUCCAAGCCAGGCCUGCUGGGCUGGCUGUUUUGUUCUCUCGGGCCCCAGUCCUGCCGAAGGACCUGCUGGCACAAACCCCUGAGGUGGGAUUCUUCUCAGCUAGCCACAGAAGCCUGAAAGUUACAUGAGCGAUGCAAGCUAAUCACUCUGGCUCUUCUGAUGGGGGAUGAAGAGGAGGAGGCAUCUCGCCAAAUGUGGCUCAGGAGGAACAAGGUUCCUGGAUGCUGAUGAAAAACAAGCUGCUAUGUGAUAUAUUGCCCAAAAUUCACAGAAGGAAUCAUUGGCACUAGUGAUUUCAGACUCAUCCUGGACCUGAGCUGGAUGACUACACCUGCGUGGUGCAUCCCACUCACUCUUCAUGAAAAAUAAGCCCCACUCGGGAGAUCCUGCUCACAGCCAGGUGGGCUGUGUCUGCAUCCUUCUCUCCUGAAACCAGAUAACCCCGGGAGCAAAGCCAUGCCUUUCCAGGCGCUGAUUCACAGCCUCUGACAACACAUGCCGGCUGGUUCAAGGCAGCGGCAUGCGGAGCCGGCGGCCGCCCCUGCCCAGCGCCGCCCUCCCUGGAGCUGGGACGGGUUAAGGGACCCAGUGCCGUAGCGUGGACCUCCCGGGUCCUCAGCUGCUGCUGGACGACCACUUCAUCAUCCGGCCUCCGUUGCAACGAACCUAACAGAAACUUGCCGUAAAGAAAGAGAAACCAAACCAGAGUGGAAAAGUCAGAAGGCAGCACGAAAGCGUUUAAGUGGACUGCACUGCCGGGUACCAGCUGGCUUUGCUGCCCCUCUGGUUCAUGUCGGGAUCUCCUUUUGCUGCUGUUUAUCAUCUCCUCAAGCUGCCUCUCCAGCAUGAAAGCAAGCAGUGAUCAUUGGAGAUAUUAAUGCAUUAUGGGAAGGGUAACUAAAAUAGCAGCUCUCCUUGAUGCUGAAGAAGUCAUCUUCCUCCAGUCUCCUUAGCACAAAUACUCUUAAUGGAAAAUGAAUCAGCUCUUUUUGGGCUUUGCUCCAGGAGCCCCUCUGACUAAUUCUGCCCCAAACUGCCAGGGCUGACCCUGCACAGUGGUGCAAUCACAGCAGAUAGGACUUGGUCACGUUUGGGUGGAGGCAAGGAAAAACUGUUUUGCAAGCCUGCCCAAAAAUCCUCAUGCUGACUCUGCCAAAACCACACCAAACAUAUGGUAAAUUAAAUAGCUGGCAUGGAGUUGUUUUUGGACUGCAGGAGCAUUUCAGCACUGUGGACUGCUCUUUAGCUGUCUUGAAUUUUAUUUACACUGUUUUAAGUAUCUCCAUAUUUAAGAAAGAGAAGGCAAAGAAGAGGGCAAUGCUGAUCUUUUGUGCUUUGGAUGCUUCUAAAUGCACAUUAUUUUUAUAACUAUGUUAGCAGAGUCCUAAUGCUUGUCCUAUCCCACAGUUAAGAGCAGUAAUGGCAUUGCAGAGGGUUUCACCUCCUCAUUCGGCAAUAGACUCUUGCGGAAGAGCAUAAAGAAGUGUUUUCUGUCUUGCAAGGGGAGCUCUGGCUAUUUCACCAUAUGAAUGUCCCAUACAUGUCAUGGAGCUGAUGAAAUCAUGUGCAGAUCCAUGCUAAUAAAGGCUGUAUUCACAUGGCAGAUUCCUCUGCUAUAUAUCUUCGACCAUAUCUAAGCUGGUAUAACCAUAUCAACAAAUACAUCCACACAGAACUGUAGCAAGGCUGGAGUGAAAGGGAGCUGCCUUGGGCUAAUGCCAGAUGUGUGUGCAGAUGUCUAAAACUUCAUCAGCUACUGCUGUCCACAAAGAUGGACUGCCUAUUACAGACCCAGGCAAUUUUCAGGGCAGCAGUGGAGAUGUUCUGCCCUCCCAGAUGCCACAUGCUGCAUGACUUCCCUCGUGGGGCACUGUGGAUCCACUGGAAAUCUGAGGCUUGAAGUCACAGGAAUAAAUGCUCCUUUCCUCACGUGGUGUUGCUUAUAUGGAUUCAAGUACCCCAAACCAUUUUCAAGUCCUGUCAGGUGAUGUGGAAGAAACAUUACAGAGAAGCAAGAUCUUAAAAAAGAGUGGCCAGAGGUGCCAGAUGUCUUUGGUGAUUCGGGAGGCAGCCUUAGGAACAGCUGCGGUGGAUACAACCACAGAAGGAGGAUGAAAGCAAAACAGCCAAACAGCAGUGAUCAUGGCAAGAAGUGACUUUUCUCAAGAUCUGGGUGUUAUUUUUCCUCCUGGAGCUGCAGUGGCAGCAUGCCAGGAAGGAGACCGUACCUCCGUGUGCAGCAGCCCUUGCCAUUUGGCAGCUUGCCACCGCAGCCUGCACCCGGGAGCUCAGAGCGCAACUGUUCUCCAGCCCUGUUCCAACUCCUAGCUUCUCCCAUUCGUCUGUAAGCUGUGGCCUCCUCACACAACAUUGCAUUUGUGAAGGGCUUUUGUGAGAGAGAAUGAGGAGGCAAAUCCUGCAUAGCUGCUGCCCUGUUCUUGCCACAACCUCUGGCUCCAUUAGCACAUCUUCUCAGGGCUGAGCCAUUGCAUAGGGGGACAGGAUGACCAAAACCCAAAUAAUUUGUUUAUUCAGCAACCUGAUCUAAGCAAAGAUUAUGCAAGACUGAUUAAACAAACUUUUUGGCACAAUCCAGCAACAAGCAUCAAUAAACUCUUUUUCCGCUGCUUUUCUUUUCUGCCAUACAUUCAGUUCAGUGCUCAGCCAGUAAUCUCUAAGCUCACUAAGCUUUCUAAGUCACUAAGCUAAAAAUGAGAACAGCAACAGAAACAAAAGGAAACAUAGAGAGAGAUGACUUAAGUGAGUUUGGAAAUCACUUCUCAUAUGAAACACUCUUUUACUCACAUACACGAAAAGCAUCAAAAUUCCCUACCUCUGAUGUAAACAGCAGAAGGAAAGAGUCAUCUGGAAGGACAGCAUGAUUCAUCCUGAGGACCUGACUAGUAAUAUUCAUCAGUGUUGAAAUUCUCUCUGCAAGAUGACUAUAUGUGAAAGCAGCACCAGUGAAAUCCCAGCUUUGGCCAUGAGAAGUAUCAUUAACUGCUAAGCUGUGUGGUUAGGCUCCAAUGCCACAACCCUUGCUCCUGUGAGUAAUCUUAAGUCAUCCAACCAGUCUCAGUUAAAACAACAGCACAAUUCAGGUAAGACUGCUUUACAUAAGGGCAGCAGCAUCACACCAGAGCACACUCAGCUUUUGCAGUCCUCUUUUGCAGAAGGUGCUUCUGAAUAGAAACAGAAGUUAAAUAGCAAAACAGAAGGUUUUUUCCUUGGUCUUGCAGAAAAACCUUCCUAGGGUUUCCUUUGCUGCCUGAUUUGAACUCUUCCAGAAGACUGGAAAAUUCAGACAAUCUUUCCCUGUAUGCUAAUUGCACUGACCCAAAUGGUAACAGGGCACAAAAGGCCUUGCUGGCUUUAUGCAUUGUUACAAGAUACUUUCGAUUGCAUAUUUGAAUCUGUUUACCUAAUCUUCCAGGCCUUUAGCCAUGAAUAUUAAAUUCCUUGAUCACUAUGCAUUAGGA